GGCCCUGCGCUCUGCGCUGGCUUCUCCACUUAUUGUCUGCCACUUAGACUGGCCCACGAGGGUAUCGAUGCUCAAAAGACCCCACAUCUCCCUCCACUAUGAAAAUUAAAUGAAGUGUGCGUCUCAGGCAGGGAAAAGGCACCGGCAUUGGCCUGCCUGGGGAUCUUGUUUUUCUUUUCUCCUCCCCCCCCCCAGUGCGGUGGCCCGUGGGGUAGAGUGAUUCCCCUGAGGGCAGUGACCGCUGCUAAUUUCCAGGAACAAUGUGGACACUCCAGGGCCAGCCGGCGCACCCGAAAGGACACGCCGGUCAUUUAUCCUGUUCGAGGAGCUCCAGGAUAACCGCUUUGUGGAGAAGGGAAUGCAGGGGACCGGAGUGAGCAAAGAAAGGAGGCUCCAGAAGAGGCCAGGAACAACUGCAGCCCAGGGAGUCGUGCCCUCAGAAAGCCUUGGCAUCCCUGGUCUCUGCCCAAGGAGGAGGGCGUGGUGCAGAAGUGAAUGGGGUCUUGUAGGGUUGGGGUAAGGUAGAGCAGAAGGGGGAAGGGGCUGGGGUUCAGAGACCUAAGUUUUAGGAGGCCACUGCCCUGAUUUGCUGGGUGACUGUGAAAAAGCCCUUCUUCCUCUGGGUCUUGGUUUCUGCACCUGCACAAUGAAGAGAUGGUACCAGGUGGUCUUCAACUUCCUUCGGGCCCUUGAAGCUACAGGGAGAAGGACCCUCCGCCUGGAGCCUGGGGCCAGAGCUUGGCAGUUAUAGGCUUGGGCUCACUGGGGCGAGGCAGUUUCAGGACAGUCUUUCAGAACACAUCCCACAAAUCCAGGGGUUCCCUUAGGCGGCAGAUUCUGGGAGCCAAGGCGCUGCUGAGGCUCACUGAUCACCGAAGGACUCCAUCCAUCACUGCACUCUUGGAACUCUUCUGAUUCCUUAAAGGAAGCAGUGGGGCCCACGUGCUCUGGAGACCUCUGGAGGUCUCCACCUUCAAUGAGGCGAACACGGCGUCAGGACAAUGCCUGGAGAAGGGAGAACCUCGAAGCAGGAUCUAAUAAUAAGAUUUUACUCGCAUUAUGUGUAGGUGCAUGUCACCUUUUUUAGUUACCCGUAUGUGGUAAGGACAUGAAGUUUCUUUUAUUUUUCUUGAUUUAUCUUUUAAAGAUUUUAUUUAUUUAUUUGAGAGAGACACAGAGAGAGCAUGAGAGGGGCGAGGUCAGAGGGAGAAGCAGACUCCCCAUGGAGCUGGGAGCCCGAUGCAGGACUUGAUUCCAGGACUCCAGGAUUGUGACCUGAGCCGAAGGCAGACAAUUAACCAACUGAGCCACACAGGCACCCUAAAGAUUUUAUUUUUAAGUAAUCUCUCCACUCGAUACAGAGCUCAGACUUGCAACCAACAGACUGAGAGUUUCAUGCUCCACUACCUGAGCCAACCAGGUGGCCCGUAAAGUUUCUUUUAAAAAUACAUUCAUUUAGGGGCAGCUUUCGGCUCAGGUCAUGGUCCCAGGGUCCUGGGAUGGAGCCCCUGCCUUGGGCUCUCUGCUCAGCGGGAAGCCUGCUUCCCCCUCUCCCACUCUCCCUGCACAUGUUCCCUCUCUCGCUCUCUCUCUCUCUCUCUGUCAAAUAAACAAAUAAAAUCUUGAAAAAUAUAAAAAUAAGUAAAAAUAAAAAUACAUUCAUUUAAUAAACAAGGUAAGAAUUUUGAAACCAAAAAAUUUUAUCAAACCAUAUGAAAUUGCCAAUAAUUGACCACUUCUGAUGGCAGAAAUGGAAAUUUCAUAUGUUUCAACUUGCUGUGGUGAUACCAGCUAGCAUUUAUGGCAAGGAGGAUCUCAUGGAGUCCCCCACAGUAAAUAGAGCAUGUGGGAAGCUCUAUAAUUGAUUACCUACCAAAUCCCAGUAGCUUUGUGACCUUGGGAAACACCUCCCACUCUUUGGGGAGAGGCUGGUCCCGAGCCUGUGGCUCUUCUCUGGUUCCAUAGCCCAUGAUCCAUCCCUUGGUCUAUUUAUGGAGCAGCUAAUACACGAAGCACUGACUGACAAGGCCAUGGUUGGGGAGUGGGGAGGAGGGAUAGGAUUCUGGCAAGACAUUGUCCCAGUCUCAGGGGAAAAAAGCGAAAGGCAGGCAUGCAUAAUGUGAGGUCAGUGGCUAGACAGCACCUACGGGGUAGCCCAUAGUGGGAGGUGUCAGCAUAGACACAGGUGACAGGCAGGCUACCCUGAGAAGAUACUGUGCCCUGAGCCCCUUAAAGGCCAAGACGUGGCCGUAUUCCCUGGUACAGGGUUGAUGGGCACAGAUGUGCCUCAAAGAGGAAGAGAGGUGGGGAUCUGUCAUUCUGUAUGGGGCCAAGGAGGACACAGAGGACCAAGCAGUGGACAGAAGGGGAGAAGGCUAGGGAAGAGGGUCCCAAAGCACAUUUCUCUUGUAGUCGUGGGCUACACAGAGCUUCUGACACCCUUCCGGCUUACCAGCCAGCCCACAGAACUCGCCCUGGCCUGGGCACAUGAGGCAGAGAUGGUCCCAAGGUCAGCACAGAUGGCACAACUGUACCCAGAGGCACUGAAGCCUGGCAGUGUGCACCCGGAGAGGGGCCUACUGUCCCUGCUGUCCUCUCCCCAGGGUUCCUGCUCAGAACAGGUCUGAAGAGGUGAAGCCAAUGGGAGCUGCAUGGUCGGGCGUGGGGGGCACGGACAAGGCAUCCAGGAUCCCUCAGUGAUCCCCAAGAUCACCGCCAGAGUGGUGGGCUGGUCUUACAAAAUAGGCCCCAAAGGAUAAAUGUAAUUUGGGGUUCAAGAUGCGAGAGAGAAUAGCAAUCAGGCUGGUGGUGAGGAUAAAGGCAGAAGUGGGCUGGUUUGACUCCCAAGUCAGUGAAAUACAAGCUUCUCCUUUUUGUGUUACCUCCUCACCCCACCCUCCAAGGAAGAAUGGCCAGAAGGAGACCCGCGUAAAAACCCGUGGGAAAACACAAACAACGUUUAAAGCCAGAAUCCUUCCAAGUUUCAGAGAGGACUUUAGAGAGGCCCCAGGGUGGGGAGGGUGGGGGGUUGUCUGGAGAGGGAAAUGGUGAAUGGCAGACCUUCCGAUUGCGGUCCAGAUCAGCGGCAAAUGGGGCUUGGCUGGUGUAACAAUGAAAAAACGUGCCUUACUGGCCUUGCCCAAGACUGAGGAGUCUAAGGAUCCGGAAUUAAAUCCUCCCCAUCUUCCGCAUUGUCCUGAGGUAGAUAGGGCAGGGUGCUGUCCAUGGCUGGGGGAAAGCAAGGCUUGCAAGAGCAUCUUCUUGAAGGUGCCUGGGGCCAGGAGCACCCUGGAGGGGCAGGCUGAGUAGUGCAGGGCCUGCAGAGAGGGGGCAGAGAGGUGAGGGGACAGCAGGAGACAGGAUGGCAGCUCUCCUGUCUCCACAGCUACUCUUUCAUUUACUGAGUCCCACAGAGAAGGUAAGGGCAGGUAAGAAGGGAGAGAGAGAGGAGGAAGAGACAGACAAAGAGGAAGAGGUAUACCAGCAAUGGGGAGCUGCGAGGGGAGUCAGAAAGAGGGAGGGAGGAAGCAGGUGGAGUUGGCAGGCCGUGGCAGAGACAGCAGUGGGCUGAGGGCAUGAAAGAUACGUAUUUUUAUAAUGUGGAGUGUGGGGGCCAUCAUCCCCUCCUUGCUCCCCUCCAUGACCAGCUUAUGCUGGGAGACCCUUGAAGGGGACACUGAGGGGACACUGUUCCCUUCCCUUGUGAGCAGAACGGGGGUAGAGACUGCUUAUAGCUGCCACUCCCGUCUGGCUCAGGUCCAGGCUGUCCGUCAGCAUGACCCCCAGAGCAAGCCCACCCCACUUGCAAGGUCCCAGCAAGCCGCCCACUAUGACCAGCCUUAGUCGUGAGGCCUUGCUUCCUGGUUUAAUCUGUGGGGGCCUCUAUUCUGAGCUCUGUCCCUAUCUGCCUGGGUCAGGUGCACCCCAGGGAACCAGUGCCUGCCUCGGAAUACCCCUCCCUGGUCAUGACUGUCCUUACUCUAGCUGUCCCUGCCUCCUGCCACUCUCCGUCCUCUCCCCAUUCCUUUCCUGGCUGGCUGAUGAGUCGGGGGAUCCACUUAUUGUGCCCCAGAUACAUAAGUGAUUAAAUAAUAUAUCCCCAUAUAGUACUUGUCCUGGAAUAUGAGUAAGUGCUCAGCAUGUUAGCUAUUUUAUAUAUAUUUUAUUUUUUUUUUUUAGUUUCUUGACUCUUGAGUGCUGUGGUCUGCUCCUCUUUAAAAUGAGAUUAAUGCAAGAUCAAGGGCACCAAGCAGGGCACAGCCUCCCUUAUGUGGGUCACAAAACACACAAUCCGAAUUUAAACAUGAAGAACAUGAGGCAAGCCCACACUGAGAGACAUCUGUGCAAAACAACUGGUCGGACCCCCUCAAAGGGGUCCAGCUUGUGAAAACCAAGGAACAACAAAGGGAGGGGCCGUCCCAGACUGGAGGGUUCUGAGGGCACGUGAGUGCCAAACACGGAGUGGGAUCCUGGGAGAUCCUGGGACUGGAAAAGGAUGUUAGCGGGAAAACUUACAGAAUUUAAGUAAGGGCUGUAAGUAACUGAGCAGAAUCUCCCCUCCGUCCAUGUCCUGGUUCUGGUCAUCCCACCAGGACCCAUACGGCAUUUGCAUGAGGGGAAGUGAUAAAGGGCACGGGCGAGCUUUUUCGACUAUUUUGCCAGAGUUUCCAAGUCUGAAAUUAUUUCAAUAUAAAAAGUUUAAAAGCAGGAUUGUGGAGAGGAUCGUCCCUCUAGGUUGUUAGGAAGAAUUUGUUUUCUGUUUUUGUUUUUUUUUUAAAAAGAUUUUAUUUAUUUAUCAGGGGGUGGGGGGGGGGAGAGUGAGAGAGAGAAAGAGAGAGAAAGCGAGCAUACAAGCAGGGGGAACUGCUGCCAAAAGGAGAGCAGGCUGCCUGCGGAGCAAGGAGCCCAAUGCGGAACUCAAUCCCAGGACCCUGGGAUCAUGGGAUCAUGACCUGAACAGAAGGCAGCUGCUUAACCAACUAAGCCACCUAGGUGUCCCUAUUAGGAAGAACUUGUAAAAGUGAGUAAGGGUAAAGCACCUGGUGUGGGUCACCUGCCAGUUGAUGAGUGCCGCAAACCAGUACACAGAAUGAUGGAGGCUAUGAAGGCAGAGCCACAGGGACUGGGCUAAUGUGUAAUGUCCUUGUAGCCCCUGAGCUGAGAUUGAUCAUCUUUCAUCUACAGGGUGGCAGAGAAUUAGGCUGGGAGAACAGCACUGAGAAAGACCAAGGCAGAUAAGAGCCAGGGCAUGAGAAGGAACAGGCUGGGGUGGUGAGCCCGGGCCCUGAGACUGGGGGACAGGGAGGGGCCGGUCUUAUCUGUGGUCACCGGACAACUGAGGGGCAGAGCUGAGCCUGCAUUCCCAGCGGGCCUCAGUUCCCUGCCCUCCACACUCCAUCACACCAUAUUCCCAAACCCAGCUGAAUGUAAACUUGAAAUACUCUGUUUUGCAAAUAUGGAAGCAAAUGGGCUUUGCACCUAAUGUUUAGGAUUUUUUUGUAAGGAAGAGAAAGUAUGUAGGUUCUAACUCAGUUGUGUAAGAUUUGGUGGUCUUGAGACCAGAGUCAAUCUGCCAACUCUUUUCUUUUUAAAGAUUUUAUUUAUUUAUUUUUGAGAGAGAGACACAGAGAGCACAACCAGAGGGGCAGAGGGAGAGGGAAAAGCAGACUCUCUGCUAAGCAGGGAGCCCCACAUGGGCUCUACCCCAGGACCCUGGGAUCACAACCUGAGCCAAAGCAGAUGUUUAACCAACUGGGCCACCCAGGCACUUAACCACGUAACCAACUGACCUUUUAGGUGCCCUCAAUCUGUCAACUGUAAGAAGGAAAGGUACCCAGGAGGUUUUCACUAUGAAAAGCUGAGCAUGACCUAGGCACCGAGCAAUGUAUGCCCUGGCCCUGGUUAGGGUGCCAAGACAUUUCACACCAUCUUUGCACCUAGCCUAUGGGGUGCUCCAACAGGUACCUUGUUCCCAUUUUGCAGACUAAGCAUUGAGAAUUUUGAACGAGAGCCUCAUUCUUUGAGAGGUGUGUACUGAGCUAUGUAUAGGGGAAAAGACCCCAUGAGUGGUGGAAGCUGGGGCUGGACCCAGUGGAUAAUUGUUAAAACUGAGUGACAGGUGCAGACCGUUUGUUUUAAAUUGCUCUCUCUGGGGCGUCUGGGUGGCUCAGUCAGUUAAGGGUCUGACUCUUGGUUUCAGCUCAGGUCCUGAUCUCAGGAAGGCAAGGUCGAGCCUUGUAUUGGGCUCUGUGCUGGGUGUGGUGCCUGUUUAAGAUUCUCCCCCUCCUUCUGCCCCUCCCCCACUCGUGCUCACUGUCUCAAAAAUAAAUAAAUAAGUAAAUUGCUCUCUCUGUUACUGUGUAUGCCUGAACAUCUUAUAAUAAACCAUCUCUAGCAGGGAAACACUGGGUGUCAUCCUGAGCUCCAGCCCCGACUCACCCUUGCUGGGGUCUUGGUGGCCCAUAUAGGCUUGCUGGGACACAGCAUCCCCAGCCUAGGUCCAACACUCCUAUCCUCAGACGGUCAGCCAGGGAGCCUUCCUGGAAGAAGUGGUACCUGACCAGAGACCUAUGUGAGUGUCCCCCAAUGGGAGGAGCUGGGAAGGGUGGGCUCUCAGGGGGAGCUCUCAGGGGGAGCUCAUC